UUAUCACAAAAAAUUAUUAUAAAUAUACGUGUAUUUCACAAAAAAGAUAAAACAUGUGUAAUGGUAAGUAAUCUUAUUGAAUCAAUACACUAUUUUCUAAUUACAUAUUUAUGGAUAUUUAAUGUACGUAUAUUAAAUGCUACAACACGUACUAUUUGUUUAAGAAAGUACUUAUUACGUGCAUCAUAGCAUUCUACACCACUGGAUCAGUGAAGAUCUACAAAAAAGUAGCUGUAAAAUUGACCUGGACCUUGAAAUUCAGGGUCAUUUUUUAAUUGCAUCAUAUUCUAUACUUCUAUUCUAUACUAUAUCGCGAGGAUCGAAAGUCUUAAAGGAACCAUGGGUCGCAUUCGACCGUUCUCUUAAAAAAAGAUGUUAAUUAACUUUAGAAUUCACUUUAUUUGUAAUUAUCUGUUAUAUAUCUGAUAUAUGGCUGUCGAUUUUGUAAAGUGUCUGACAUAACGCAGGCCGGUAAGAAAAAGAUAUUGCUUGGAGGGGGAAUCAUAUUGCCUUACUAUAUCGUGGCAUCGAUUCUAAGCAAAACAUGAUCGCAGCAAAGGUCACUGUUGCGUUGCAAAUAUUCGUAAACCGUCUCUGGUUCAUACUUUCGACUCUUGCUUCUUUUUGUCAUAGAUUAAUCUGUAAUUCUAAUGUAAUAGAUUAAUGCAUCUGAUUUCAAAAUAUAAGUACAUUACAAACAAUGUGAAUUCGAAAAUUUAUAAAACUUUAACAUUUUUUUCCAAGAGGACUGAGAAGAUGAUUUGCGAUCCAUAGUUUCUUUGAGUCUUUGCACUCGACGGCCUUUUCGGUCGAGCAUAGCAUCAACUCGAGGUGAUUUUGCACGUAUGUGACGAGUGUCUUGUAGACAUAAGUAGAAAGAUCAAUUAAAAGGACCAUUGGAUUUUACUCCAAGGCCCGCCCUCCUACAUAAAUUCAUUAUGUGAAAAAUUUUAAUGUGCCUUCUAUAACGAUUAAAGGCCAAUGAAACUUUGAAUUUGUUCAUUAAUUAUUGAGGAUUAAAAGGGGAAA